rnacentral:rRNA from 1 species
AACUCAGCAGUUGACCACUCAGUUCAUGAGCCGAUGAAAAACACAGCUAACUGUGAGGAUUAACAUGAAUUGCAGGACACACUGAUCAUCAACACUUCAAACCAUACUUGCAGCCCUGUGUUCUUCCCAAAGACAUGCUAAUAAAAAAAUUC